UACGGAGGGUGCAAGCGUUGUCCGGAAUUACUGGGCGUAAAGCGCACGUAGGCGGCUUUGCAAGUUAGAGGUGAAAGCCCGGGGCUCAACUCCGGAAUUGCCUUUAAGACUGCAUCGCUAGAAUUGUGGAGAGGUAAGUGGAAUUCCGAGUGUAGAGGUGAAAUUCGUAGAUAUUCGGAAGAACACCAGUGGCGAAGGCGACUUACUGGACACAUAUUGACGCUGAGGUGCGAAAGCGUGGGGAGCAAACAGG
rnacentral:rRNA from 1 species